ACUACAUGAAGCUGGAAUCGCUAGUAAUCGCGGAUCAGAAUGCCGCGGUGAAUACGUUCCCGGGUCUUGUACACACCGCCCGUCACACCAUGGGAGUCGGAAAUGCCCGAAGUCUGUGACCCGAAACCGAAAGGGAAGGAGCAGCCGAAGGCAGGUCGGAUGACUGGGGUGAAGUCGUAACAAGGUAUC
rnacentral:rRNA from 1 species